UACUGGGAACCACUGCUAUAGAGCAUAUGGUAGUUUUUCGUUUUUCGCCCGAGUCGUCGCGAUAGUAGUGAAAGCGAAACGUUUUUUGUUUUAUACAAAUACUAUAGCUGUCCCCACGGUUUUGCUCGUGCAUUAUAUUUAAAGAAAAAAAAAAAUAAACAGAUAAAAACGUGUCUUCCCGUAUUACCCCGUCACUCACCGUUUC